AUGGGAAAGGAAAAGACUCACAUCAAUAUUGUCAUCAUUGGGCUGGUAGAUUUGGGCAAGUCCACCCCUACUGAUCUAAACAUGUGGUGGGACUGACAAGAGACCCUCUGCAAAAUGUGAUAAGAAGUCUGCUGAGAUGGGAAAGGGCUCCUUCAAGUAUGCCUGGGCCUUGUAUAAGCAGAAAGCUGAGUGUGAACGUGGUGUCACAAUUGAUACUUCUCUGUGGAAAUUUGAGACCAGCAAGUGCUAUGUGACCAUCACAAGACUUUAUCAAAAACAUUAUUACAGGCACAUCCCAGGUAGAAUGCGCUGCCUUGAUUGUCGCUGUUGACAUUGGUGAAUUUGAAGUUGGUAUCUCUGAGAAUGGGCAGACCCCUGAGCACACCCUUCUGGCUUGCAUGCCAGAUGUGUAACAAGUAAUUGUUGUUGUUUACAAAAUGGAUUUCACUGAGCCACCCUAUAGCAGAAGAGACAUGAAGAAAUUGCUAAGGAAGUCAGCACUUACAUUAAGAAAAUGGGCCACAGCCCUUACACUGAGGCAUUUGUGCCAAUUUCUGGUUGGGAUGGUAGCAACAUGCUGGAGCCAUGUGAUCACAGGCCUUGGUUUAAGGGAUAGAAAGUUUAGGGUAAAGAUGGCAAUGCCUAUGGAACCAUGCUGCUUGAAGCUCUGGACUCCUUCCUACCACCAACUCAUCCAAUUGACAAGCCCUUGCGUCUGCCCCUCCAGGAUGUCUACAAAAUUUGGGAUAUUGGCACUAUCCCUGUGGGCCAAGUGGACACUGGUGUUCUCAAACCAGUAGCGUAAACACUCUGCUCCAGUCAACAUCACAACUGAAGUAAUGUCCGUUAAAAUGCACCAUGAAGCUUUGAGUGGGCUCCUCCUGGAGACAAUGUGGGCUUUAAUGUCAAGAAUGUGUCUGGCAAAGCUGUUCGUCGUGGCAACAUCACUGAUGAAAGCAAAACCACCCACCUGUGGAAGCAGCAGGCUUCACUGCUCCGGUGAUUAUCCUGCAUCCUCCAGGGUGAAUCACGCUGGCUGUGUAUGCCCCUGUACUGGAUUGUCACACGGCGCACAUUGCUUGCAAGUUUGCUGAGCUGAAGGAAAAGGUUGACUGAUGUUCUUGUAAGAAACUGGAAGAUGGUUCUUAAAUUCUCGAAAUUGGGUGAAAACUAUCGUUGAUAUGGUUCCUAUCAAGCCUAGGUGUGUUGAGAGCUUCUCUGACUAUGCUCCUCCAGGUCAUUUUGCUGUUCAUGAUAUGAGAUAGACAGCUGCUGAAGUGUCAUUAGAGCAGUGGCUGCUGGAGCUGGCAAAGUCACUGAGUCUGCCUGGGAAGUUCAGAAGGCUAAAUGA
rnacentral:lncRNA from 1 species